rnacentral:rRNA from 1 species
UACGUAGGGCGCAAGCGUUGUCCGGAAUUAUUGGGCGUAAAGAGCUCGUAGGCGGUUUGUCGCGUCUGCUGUGAAAACCUAAGGCUCAACCUUGGGCUUGCAGUGGGUACGGGCAGACUAGAGUGCGGUAGGGGUGACUGGAAUUCCUGGUGUAGCGGUGAAAUGCGCAGAUAUCAGGAGGAACACCGAUGGCGAAGGCGGGUCUCUGGG